GGGAGGCAGGGCGCCCCGCGGGCCUGCAGGGCCUCGAGCCACCCACUUCCUGUGACGGGCCAGGCCAUCUGGGAUCCGGAAAUUAAGCCGGCCCUUCAAAUCCCCUCUGGGUCUCCGUGUUCCUGGGGUUUGACAGAACGUCCAGGCCUCCCUCAGCAGAGCCCCGCGUUCCUGCCCCGGGAAGGGGAAGGUGCUCGCAGGCCGCUGGCCGCAGGCCCCCGAAUCUCGAAGCUCGGAGGCUUUGGGCAGGGUCCCACCACGAAGCGGGCUCGGGGGCUGUGGCUCACCUUCCCUGAGAACCGGCCCGAGCCCCCCAGCCCCUGGGGCCGGCAUGUCCCGGGUCAGGGCAGGAGGACACAGGCUGUCAGGGUCCUGGUGGCCACGAGGGCUCCAGGGAAGGAAGCGGGGGGACCAGAGGGCUCUGCCCUGACUUGCCCCGGGGUCCUCCCGGGAGCCUCUGCCCACAGCCGGGGUGCUUGGGGAGGGCCAGCUGGUCCCCCUGCCCCCGGGGAAGCACUCGGGGCCCUGCCUGACUCGGCCCGGCCAGCUCCACACUCCGUGGUCCUGUCCCCCCGCAGAGCUCGGCCGCUCCUCCGUGUGGCCCAGCCCCCCACCCGCCUGUCCUCGGCGGCGACCCCCGGGUUCCCGCGGACAGCUGCGGGCCCUCCCUGCGGGCUCCCCCCUGCACCUGCCCGCUCUGCCCUCCCGGCCAGCCCGGGGCUCCCCGAGGGCACCUGCCUGCCAGCAGCCGCAGCACUUGCCGAGGACCGCUGGCGCCACGAGGUCAGAGCCCCUGGAGGUCAGCUUCUCGGUUGCAAAUUUGUCCGUCAUGUUCCAGGAGGGCAGGGGACCUCGCAGCUUGGUCCGGGGAAGGGGGCUCUCAGGCCCCCGCGCUCCUCGGUGGGAUGGAGCAGUGUCGUCCAGGACGGAGGAGGAACAGGUCAUGGGUGGGGGAGGACGGUGGUCCGAGGGCUCAGCCAGACCCACGUGCCCCAGACUCAGUGA
rnacentral:lncRNA from 1 species